AGACCAUGGUGUGGGCAUUUUCUCAUAAACUCCUUCAUUCUCUCCGAAGCUUCAUGAAUUUGUUCACCCAGUGUUUGGGUGAAUCCAGUGAUGGCUCUUCUCAUGGU
rnacentral:snoRNA from 1 species